UACGUAGGGCGCAAGCGUUAUCCGGAAUUAUUGGGCGUAAAGGGCUCGUAGGCGGUUUGUCGCGUCGGGAGUGAAAACCUCGGGCUUAACUCGGGGCUUGCUUUCGAUACGGGCAGACUGGAGGUAUGCAGGGGAGAACGGAAUUCCUGGUGUAGCGGUGAAAUGCGCAGAUAUCAGGAGGAACACCGGUGGCGAAGGCGGUUCUCUGGGCAUGACCUGACGCUGAGGAGCGAAAGUGUGGGGAGCGAACAGG
rnacentral:rRNA from 1 species